GAUCAUUACUGAAUCGUCGACACGAGUUGUUGCUGGCCUUCAAACGGGGGCAUGUGCACACUCUGUUUGCAUCCACUCACACCUGUGCACCCUUUGUAGUUCUGCGGCAUGGGAGAUCCCGUCUCCCUUCCACGGUUCUGCGUCUUUACACACACACAGUAACAUGGUCUUAUGGAAUGUAAGCGGCGUUUAACGCAAUACAAUACAACUUUCAGCAACGGAUCUCUUGGCUCUCGCAUCGAUGAAGAACGCAGCGAAAUGCGAUAAGUAAUGUGAAUUGCAGAAUUCAGUGAAUCAUCGAAUCUUUGAACGCACCUUGCGCCCUUUGGCUAUUCCGAAGGGCAUGCCUGUUUGAGUAUCGUGAACACCUCAACUCCUCAUGGUUUGCCGUGAUGAGCUUGGACUUUGGAGGUUUUGCUGGCCCGCGGUCUGCUCCUCUCAAAUGAAUUAGCUUGCCAGUGCAUGGCGGCGCCACAGGUGUGAUAACUAUCUGCGCUUGUGGUUGCAUGCCAGGUAACCUUCAGUACUGAAGGUUUGCUGGAGCUCAUAAAUGUCUCUCCUCAGUGAAGACAGCUUUUGAACGUUUGAUCUCAAAUCAGGUAGGACUACCCGCUGAACUUAAGCAUAUCAAUAAGCGGAGGAAAAGAAACUAACAAGGAUUCCCCUAGUAACUGCGAGUGAAGCGGGAAGAGCUCAAAUUUAAAAUCUGGCGUGCCUCUGGUCGUCCGAGUUGUAGUCUGGAGAAGCGUUUUCCGUGUUGGACCGUGUACAAGUCCCUUGGAACAGGGCGUCAUAGAGGGUGAGAAUCCCGUCUUUGACACGGACUACCAAUGCUUUGUGAUGCGCUCUCAAAGAGUCGAGUUGUUUGGGAAUGCAGCUCAAAAUGGGUGGUAAAUUCCAUCUAAAGCUAAAUAUUGGCGAGAGACCGAUAGCGAACAAGUACCGUGAGGGAAAGAUGAAAAGAACUUUGGAAAGAGAGUUAAACAGUACGUGAAAUUGCUGAAAGGGAAACGCUUGAAGUCAGUCGCGUUGGCUUGAAAUCAGCCUUGCUUUGCUUGGUGUACUUUCUAGUUGACGGGUCAACAUCAGUUUUGACCAUUGGAUAAGGAUGGAGGGAAUGUGGCUCCUUUAGGAGUGUUAUAGCCUUCUAUCGUAUACAGUGGUUGGGACUGAGGCUCUCAGCACGCU
rnacentral:rRNA from 1 species